rnacentral:rRNA from 1 species
GCAGAUUCAUUUUCUGCCACCGAAUACAUUAGCAUGGGAUAAUGGAAUAGGACCCUGUCCUCCUAUUUUCAGUUGGUUUUGGCAGCGCGAGGACUAGGGUAAUGAUUAAUAGGGAUAGUUGGGGGCAUUAAUAUUUAAUUGUCAGAGGUGAAAUUCUUGGAUUUAUGAAAGAUUAACUUCUGCGAAAGCAUCUGCCAAGGAUGUUUUCAUUAAUCAAGAACGAAAGUUAGGGGAUCGAAGACGAUCAGAUACCGUCGUAGUCUUAACCAUAAACGAUGCCGACCAGCGAUUAGGAGACGUUGAAUACAAAACACCACCAUCGGCGCGGUCGUCCUUGGCGUUCGUGUUCACGCACGAGCGCGAGGGCGGUUUAGCCCGGUGGCACCGGUGAAUGACUCCCCUAGC